UGAGGAAUAUUGGGCAAUGCCCGCAAGGGUGACCCAGCAACGCCGCGUGGAGGAUGAAUGUCGUAAGAUUGUAAACUCCUGUUAGAGGGGAAGAAUAGUACCGGUUGGACCGGUAUAUGACUGUACCCUCAGAGAAAGCCCCGGCUAACUACGUGCCAGCAGCCGCGGUAAUACGUAGGGGGCAAGCGUUGUCCGGAUUUACUGGGUGUAAAGGGCGCGCAGGCGGGAUAAAAAGUCAGUGGUGAAAUCCUACAGCUUAACUGUAGAACUGCCUUUGAUACUUUUAUUCUUGAGUUCGGGAGAGAGAGACGGAAUUCCAGGUGUAGUGGUGAAAUACGUAGAUAUCUGGAAGAACACCAGUUGCGAAGGCGGUCUCUUGGUCCGACACUGACGCUGAGGCGCGAAAGCGUAGGGAGCAAACA
rnacentral:rRNA from 1 species